CACCAGCAUGUAUCGACCACAUCGAUGCUUUACUGGCAGAUUCCCAACACAAAGUUGGCGAACAAGAGGAACCUAGCAGGCACUGGCCACCCGUUGUCCUGUACGCGAUCAUUAACGAGGUCCCGCUGCGUCGCUGGAAGGAGUUCUUGAGAAUGCUCUCGGUGGCAGACCACCAGCUGGAACGCAUCGAGAUGGAAGCCGGCUUUAGCCUCCUGGAGAAGCAGUACCAGAUGCUGUGUCUGUGGUGCAAGCGCUCUUCAGCCAACCUCGAAGACAUCUUCUCCACCUUGCAUGACAUGGAUUUGUCAGGCUGCGCUCAGAUGCUGCAGGAGAGGCUGGAGAGACUUCAGCAGACGGCUCGACCAAAGGGUGAAUUCACCGCCUGCUGAGACUUCAGGUCAGGUCGUGCAACAGGAAAGACUGAUUUUGCUCAAGACAUUGUUCAAAUAUAUUUCACUCUUUUCUUUUUUUUUUUAACCUUUAUUGAAACGGUUGUUUCAUAGCGCAACUGUAAAAUUUGUUUGGACAUUCAAGUCAUACUAAACAAUGUGAAGUACAACUGUGUUAAUGCACUCAAGUGGAUAUUUACAGAUCGGGGAUUUUGUUCUUCACUGAAUUUUUUAUUUUUUAUUUAUUUUUUGUGUGUGUGGGGGGGGGGUAUCCUGUUAUUUGCUAGAAAACCAACCUAUUUGCUGUUUUUGUGCUCAACAGCAAUGCUUUGGUGCUUUUUGAAAUGAUUAGAGGAGUUUGCCUCGUCUAUAGGCAAUUUUAAUACAACAUCACCCUUUUUGGCCGCACGAGUCCUGACAAGGGACAGAGGGUGGGAACACAUCAUUACACCAGUUUUAAAAUCCCUGCAUUGACUCCCUGUAUAUAUCAGGAUUGAUUUUAAUGUGCUUUUUUUUUGGUUUUUAAAUGCCGUAACUGUCUUGGACCAUCGUAUUUAUCUGACCUGCUUUUAUCAUUUCAUCCCUAAAGUCCUCUGGCACUGGCCUUUAUUUAUUCCUAGGGUGAGGACCCGAAGACAUGGUGAGGCUGCAUUCAGCCAUUUUGGUCCCCAGCUUUAGAGUAGCCUGCCAGAGGACAUCAGGUCCGCAGAGACUGUUGAUGUUUUUCAGAGAAGGCUGAAGGCGCAUCUUAUUUAAAUAUGUAUUUUAAUUAUGUUAAAUACUGUUUUAAUCUCGAGCCUUUUUGGGAACUAUGAGAGAAGUUUACUUUUUGUGCAUUUGGUCAUGCACGUUAUGUUUAACAGGUAAUCUCAGAGCGUCUGUUGGUUUGCCUCUCAAAGUACAGUUUUUGCUUUCAUUGCUUCCUUCUCAAAUGAUCGCAUCUGGACGACUCUGUCCAGUGUAUGCAGAGAGUUUGAGAUUGGGAGUCUUCCUUUCAGCUGCCGUCCCAUCAGCAACCGUGCUGGUGAUAAUGCUACAGACGGACAUGAUCCAAUGGUGUGUUGCGACAUUCCAGCAAUGAUUUGGUGGGGUCGCCAUUGCGCUUUUUUUUCCAGCAGUUGAUUGUUUUCAGAGGGUUUUUUUUCCCUCAUUGGACCAAGUUGUCAAAAUGACUACUGUAUUUAUUUGACAAUAAAAAAUUGUGUUUACCUGUGAACGUGAACAGCUCAGCUGUCACAAUCACAACUUCUAAUUACUGUGCUGCACCCUUGCAAAAUAAGAAAAGUGAAAUCCCCACAGGAUGUACGAUUUUUUUUGUUGUUGUUGUGGCAAAAACGAGUACUGUCAAGGCACUGUUGUUUUUUUACAGAACCCAUAUGCCAGCAAAACUGGUGGUUUCCUUUUGUGGUAUCUACGUAUCGCAUUUUUUAGAUUGUUUUUCGUUUGUACAACUUCUGACGAGAAAGGUUUUGGACUUUCCAAUAAACUGAGAGGAAU